UUCCCUGCAUGAUCUUGUGAAUCCAGCUGUCUCUCAAGGAGGCAUUGCGCCGAGAAAGUCACUCCACUGAUGACAAACACACCCAGCCAACUAAACAGAUAAUGAGCAAAUUUUGUUCAGCACUCCCUCACUCCACCGAGAGGCAGGUCCUUUUCAGACGGCUGGCUGGACUCCCGCUGUUUUAUGGGAAGUAUUGUGAUCCCACAAGCUCUCUCAGGGGGGAUCAGCACUUACGAGGGCCGAUAGAGCUGCUGAUUUGAUCUUCUCUUCUUUCACAGCCUUUCUCGAGUUUUCAUCAAAACUUCUUGGCCCUACUCACCAUGGGAAGCCUCAGCACAAAUGUGAUUCCCUGUGUCCGUGAAACAGACAUCAUCUGUGACAGUGGAGACACUGAUGAGGACAGUGAUACUAGAGAAAAAAGAGAUGAACUUAACAUCAACCCAGCCACAUGAAAGCAGUGGAACUCUAAAUAUUCAGCAAUGCUUCAAACAGUUCUUACAAUAUUUAAAAGCCAUUCCUUCCCAACAGACAUUCAUCCUCACUUUAGUGAGCAGCAUGAGUCAUGAAUGUACCCUUUGCAAGAGUUCAGACAUAAUAAAGGGGCAUUAAAUAAUCUA